UUUCCGAUGUGAUUUGCUCAUGAUACAGAAACGCAUAAUCCUUUCGGGCUCCGAAUAUGUUCGUGCUUUUGCCUGCGAGGGCUGUCAAUUGCGCAACUGCUGGUGUCAAAUUGUAAGAUGCACGAUCCUGUCAUACAUUCUGUAACCUGUCGAUGGUUACUCAGAGGGCAUCAUGCAACAACUGUUAGAUGGAGUUGGUUUCUUGAUCAGUAACCACGAGCUGAUAUUUUCACAGCAAGUAAAAGAAUUAACGCAUCAUGUUCAUAUCUUUAGGAGGUAGGAGCAACAUUAACACACUUCACAAGAACUAGAUAGACAGUGUACUUGUAGUACCAUAUGCUGCGAUAACGAAUACUGCCAGAUAUUCAGUCUGUUUACACAUUAACAUGACACCUUGUGUUCAGUGGCGUCACUCUUUAUCACAGGAAACUGCAAUGCAUGGUUUUUGUAUUAAAAAUUUGAAUGUCGUAUAAUUCGAAUGCAGAAAUUUACUCAAGGUAUAAAUUCAAGUCAUGUUAACAUCAUCAGUCUGUUAAACAUAACUUACAGAAUGGUACUCUUUUCGUAUCAUGAUGCUCAGGUUCCGUCCACUUGGUGACUUGCUUAGCUUGCCGCGGAACCGUAGUGUAUCUACUUUAUGCUUCUGAUCCAUCAUAAGUUAUUAGCGCAUUCAUGUUACGACACUAACUUGUCAACACCAAGGUGUUAAUCUUGCUUCAGAUCUUGGAUGAGUUACUGGGGCUGUUCAGGCCAUGACUCCAAAUUGCAAUUGCUAUCUUGAGGACGGGCAAUCUUGUGUAACUGAAAAGUGCUCUUGCUUGCUAAAGGCACAGGCAUACACAAAUCUUUCAUCGUGCCAUUGUUUGUUCUGCAAGCACCUAGCACUGUAAUCUCAUGGAUCAAGAGUGAAUAUGGGAUGUGGACUGCUUUUCUUGCGCUUGCAGUGCGUUUGUUCUUACCCUUUCCAGGUGACCUAGAGCUUCCGCAGUCAACAAUGCUGGCGGUCAGCGUUGCUCCUUACCAGGUGAUGAAUGUGAGAUGUGCAAAGCAACAAUUAUAUACCCCACUGUGUUGGACCCAAAUACCUUCCGGAAAGAAGUUCUGAAGGGUGGGAUACUAGACAACCAUGUAAUUUCAGCUAUAUCUUUCUGUGUCAAACACAAAGGUUGAAUGUAUGGCUUAGCACUAACUUCAUGUGGGUUUUUCUGCUCAAGUUAUUUCAGUUAUAUUCCUCAGUUAAUACUUCGCAGGAUCUUGAGGAGUUCUUUUGUGUUGUAUUGCUUUGAAGGUGAAUCUCAUUCCUCGGAUUUUGCUCUGUUGUCGUAGCACUUUCAGAUUUGAAGUUAUGUUUCUCAAGUAAGAAGUAGUAUCUUUGUGCUUUUAGCAAUGAGAAUAUUUGAGGAACUACCUAUUACAACAUCAUUUUCUAGGAAAAUUAGAUCAUAACAAGAGACGAUGAAUCAUUUAUUUUCUUUGUUGUGGGUAGGGUCAAAUUUUGAAUUACCAAGCUUUUGUAUGAUUUUGAUUGACCAGGCUUGCUUGCUGCUUGCUUGUCAAUCAAGCUAUGUUGGUCGAUUUUAGAGACAAACUUGUCUUCGAAUAAGACUAUCUAGAAGCAGCAAGGCAAAGACAUCCAUUGCAUUACUAACUGGGAUAAUUUUGACUUGUUAGCUACACCCUUUGGAUGGUCCUAAUUGUAGAAAAUUAUUAUAGACAAUCAACCCUUCAAAUUUCACCAUCAUGAAAGAAUCUAAAUAUAGUAUGUUUUCUUCUCUUACUUUUUUAUUAUACUCUUCUACUCUUAUAAUUCAUCAAAUGCUAACUAUUACCGUCACUUUAAUGCUCGGAACCCCUGGUUGAUAAUUUAUAGUGGGUCAGUUCUGUGUUGAUUUCUCUCAUGAUGAUUGAUGCUUUGUUACAUAGAUAGAAAAAAAAUGAGAAAUCAGAUGGAGAAGGAAUGGCACAACCGUGAAAAAUAAGUCAGAUGCUUGUUGAAAGAUAUAUACUGUGAGUUUCAUAUAUUUUGGUUCUAUAAGGAUUCAAUUUUUUAAGGAGGCCGGAGUGGAGAAGUAGAUGUGACAUAGAGAAACAUGGCUAUGCAGGGGAAACGGGAAAUCACACUUUGACAAAUGUUUCUAUAGUCAUGUGUUAUUCUGUAGCCACUGAGCAAAUGCAUCGACAUACAUGUGUCAGAGACGCUGUAUGCUCUUUGAUUGUUGAUAAUUUUUUGUUUCUCGUGGACCUUGUUUGACUUUUGGAUGUGGUGUGAAUUCUAUGGGCUAAUAUGUCAAGCUUUCGAUGGUUCACUAUGUACGCUUGUUUGGUGAUUCAAUAUUUGUCAGUGUGGUAAUAAGCCACAUACGACACAAAUUCUUCUAUUUUGCCGAACACAUCCUCUUGAAGUACAAGAUAUUUUUAUAACCAUGUCUACAACUCAUGAUCUCUAUGCCUAAAUUUAUUGUUUGGUGCCAUUGUGACCAAUAUCGCUUAAGCUAUACGAGGUUUGAUUGAGAACAUGGAGAUACAUUUUGUCUUACUCGUGAUGAUAAGUAUGUAUGUCAACUAUUUUAUGGCCGAGUGCUUUUAGCAGAGGGCUUGUUAGGGCAAUGAGAGGACGGUUCUGGACCUUCUCCUCAACCAACGUUGACGGAGAGCAAUGAGUUGACUGUGUUUGCUGAUGACGGCGAUAAAACUGGCAAGGUAUAAGGCGAGUUGUGUCCCUGGUAGAGGUGCAGAUCAAGGAGGUCGACAAAUGGGAUGAUGUUGGGUGACGUUCACUAAGGAGGAAAAAGGUGCAGGUCGUUGUUUUUUUUGGCGAUGGCAGCAACAUACUUCCUUGAGUGAAGAAAGGAAUCCCCAGCCUGAAGCUUCGCACAGAUUUUUCCUAUUCUCUGAGAUGGAUGAUGAUGAGCGGUGCAACCGAAAAUUCAGAGCUGGGCUUUACACACUUCAGUGGGAGUGGCAUGACAGCACCAAGGUAGAGACCUGAAGAGAAGCAAAGGGACGGAGCAAGGAAACUAGAACCACGUUGUCGUGAUGUGGGUCGUGUCGUCUUCGUCCAUCUCCAUGGAGAACAACAUGUCAUAAACAUGGAGCUGAGCAUUGUUUCUCCAGAUCCCUUCAAGACAGAGAUGUAGAGAGUGGCUCCAUCACUGAAGAGAGGACAAACAUUGUGCAAGGCAUUUUUGUGCAGCUCCUUUCACAAAUGAAGGAAUUACAAUGCAUCUGACCUGUAAAGGAUUGUGACGGACAAAGUGCAAUGAAUCCACAGGAGUGGGAGGGGAGAGUUUACGAAGAAUGUUUCAAGGACAAAGUGUGACCUGGAUUCCUAAGUUAUACCCAACGUAGCAAAAUUGUAUAGAGAGAAUGCCCGCAUUUUGAAAACUCCAUUACAUAAUUUGAGGCUAUGUUCCUUUCAAUUUUCAGCAUUAUUAAAAAGAUCCUUAUUAUAGCUAAAUUUCCAUGCAUUUAUUUUCAAACAACUCUUGGUUAAAAAUG